UUCACUUACCUCAAGUUUUUUUGGCUGAUAAUAGUUUGAUUCAAAUUCAUCAAGUUUUAUACAGGGAUUGAGAGGGGGAAAAAAAGUGACAGCCUUAAAUUGCUGAAGAUCGCUUAACCUUCUCUUGCAGGAACUGCAAAAUAUGUUCACGUUUCCAAUUAUCAAUCCUGAUGCUUUCUUUAUGUUGGCCCUCAUCAUCCAGCAAAAUCAGCUUCGGUGGAGAGUUGAAGAUAUACUGAACCUUAACUGAAGGGAAUUGAUCCUUUUCGUCUUCAAUGAAGCCAACAAUUUCAGGAUAGAAAACUAGCUUCCUCAUGCAGACCUCCAGCACGGCACCAGAAUAAGUUAUCUUACUCGUGGCAUCAUCAGAAUCCUCCGUACAACACUUCAAACAGUCUGUCACUAAUUCUUGAUCUUUGAUAUAUUCAGAUAAAGUGUGACAAUCGGAACAGAGAGCAAGGCCUGUGAAACCUAGAUCCUCACAUUCCCUCGAGCUGAGUUGCUCCUUUGACGAAGCCAGCGGCAUUAAGGCGAUGAAAAUGAUCGCCGUCGUCGCUACCGCUAUUGUCACCGCCGUAGCGGGAUUCCUUACCCCAGGGAGAAGCUGCAUCUCUGGGUUCGCCGGUGACUGGGGGUGAAGAAGCGAAG
rnacentral:misc_RNA from 1 species